GAUGAACGCUGGCGGCGUGCCUAAUACAUGCAAGUCGAGCGAACAGACGAGGAGCUUGCUCCUCUGACGUUAGCGGCGGACGGGUGAGUAACACGUGGAUAACCUACCUACAAGACUGGGAUAACUUCGGGAAACCGGAGCUAAUACCGGAUAAUAUAUUGAACCGCAUGGUUCAAUAGUGAAAGACGGUUUUGCUGUCACUUAUAGAUGGAUCCGCGCCGCAUUAGCUAGUUGGUAAGGUAACGGCUUACCAAGGCGACGAUGCGUAGCCGACCUGAGAGGGUGAUCGGCCACACUGGAACUGAGACACGGUCCAGAUUCCUACGGGAGGCAGCAGUAGGGAAUCUUCCGCAAUGGGCGAAAGCCUGACGGAGCAACGCCGCGUGAGUGAUGAAGGUCUUCGGAUCGUAAAACUCUGUUAUUAGGGAAGAACAAAUGUGUAAGUAACUAUGCACGUCUUGACGGUACCUAAUCAGAAAGCCACGGCUAACUACGUG
rnacentral:rRNA from 1 species